CACCGGAUCCCAUCAGAACUCCGAAGUUAAGCGUGCUUGGGCGAGAGUAGUACUAGGAUGGGUGACCUCCUUGGAAGUCCUCGUGUUGCACCCCU
rnacentral:rRNA from 1 species